AUGGACCAACCCAGCCAGGUCAACAGAGACAGGGGACCAACCCAGCCAGGUCAACAGAGACAGGGGACUAUCCCAGCCAGGACAACAGAGACAGGGGACCAACCCAGACAGGUCAACAGAGACAGGGGACCAACCCAGCCAGGACAACAGAGACAGGGGACCAACAUAGCCAGGACAACAGAGACAGGGGACCGACCCAGCCAGGACAACAGAGACAGGGGACCAACCCAGCCAGGACAACAGACAGGGGACCAACCCAGCCAGGACAACAGAGACAGGGGACCAACCCAGCCAGGUCAACAGAGACAGGAGACCAACAUAGCCAGGACAACAGAGACAGGGGACCAAUCCAGCCAGGUCAACAGAGACAGGGGACCAACCCAGUCAGGUCAACAGAGACAGGGGACCAACCCAGCCAGGACAACAGAGACAGGGGACCAAUCCAGCCAGGUCAACAGAGACAGGAGACCAACCCAGCCAGGACAACAGAGACAGGGGACCAACAUAGCCAGGACAACAGAGACAGGGGACCAAUCCAGCCAGGUCAACAGAGACAGGAGACCAACCCAGCCAGGACAACAGAGACAGGGGACCAACCCAGCCAGGACAACAGAGACAGGGGACCAAUCCAGCCAGGACAACAGAGACAGGGGACCAAUCCAGCCAGGUCAACAGAGACAGGGGACCAACCCAGCCAGGACAACAGAGACAGGGGACCAAUCCAGUCAGGACAACAGAGACAGGGGACCAAUCCAGCCAGGUCAACAGAGACAGGAGACCAACCCAGCCAGGUCAACAGAGACAGGGGACCAACCCAGCCAGGUCAACAGAGACAAUGGACCAACCCAGCCAGGUCAACAGAGACAGGGGACCAACCCAGCCAGGUCAACAGAGACAGGGGACUAUCCCAGCCAGGACAACAGAGACAGGGGACCAACCCAGACAGGUCAACAGAGACAGGGGACCAACCCAGCCAGGACAACAGAGACAGGGGACCAACAUAGCCAGGACAACAGAGACAGGGGACCGACCCAGCCAGGACAACAGAGACAGGGGACCAACCCAGCCAGGUCAACAGAGACAGGGGACUAUCCCAGCCAGGACAACAGAGACAGGGGACCAACCCAGACAGGUCAACAGAGACAGGGGACCAACCCAGCCAGGACAACAGAGACAGGGGACCAACAUAGCCAGGACAACAGAGACAGGGGACCGACCCAGCCAGGACAACAGAGACAGGGGACCAACCCAGCCAGGACAACAGACAGGGGACCAACCCAGCCAGGACAACAGAGACAGGGGACCAACCCAGCCAGGUCAACAGAGACAGGAGACCAACAUAGCCAGGACAACAGAGACAGGGGACCAAUCCAGCCAGGUCAACAGAGACAGGGGACCAACCCAGUCAGGUCAACAGAGACAGGGGACCAACCCAGCCAGGUCAACAGAGACAGGGGACCAACCCAGCCCGGUCAACAGAGAGGAGACCAAUCCAGCCAGGACAACAGAGACAGGGGACCAAUCCAGCCAGGUCAACAGAGACAGGGGACCAACCCAGUCAGGACAACAGAGACAGGGGACCAAUCCAGUCAGGACAACAGAGACAGGGGACCAAUCCAGUCAGGACAACAGAGACAGGGGACCAACCCAGCCAGGACAACAGAGACAGGGGACCAACCCAGCCAGGACAACAGAGACAGGGGACCAAUCCAGCCAGGUCAACAGAGACAGGAGACCAACCCAGCCAGGACAACAGAGACAGGGGACCAACCCAGCCAGGACAACAGAGACAGGGGACCAAUCCAGCCAGGACAACAGAGACAGGGGACCAAUCCAGCCAGGUCAACAGAGACAGGGGACCAACCCAGCCAGGACAACAGAGACAGGGGACCAAUCCAGUCAGGACAACAGAGACAGGGGACCAAUCCAGCCAGGUCAACAGAGACAGGAGACCAACCCAGCCAGGUCAACAGAGACAGGGGACCAACCCAGCCAGGUCAACAGAGACAAUGGACCAACCCAGCCAGGUCAACAGAGACAGGGGACCAACCCAGCCAGGUCAACAGAGACAGGGGACUAUCCCAGCCAGGACAACAGAGACAGGGGACCAACCCAGCCAGGACAACAGAGACAGGGGACCAACCCAGCCAGGACAACAGAGACAGGGGACCGACCCAGCCAGGACAACAGAGACAGGGGACCGACCAAGCCAGGACAACAGAGACAGGGGACCGACCCAGCCAGGACAACAGAGACAGGGGACCAACUCAGCCAGAACAACAGAGACAGGGGACCAACCCAGCCAGGUCAACAGAGACAGGGGACCAACCCAGCCAGGACAACAGAGACAGGACAACAGAGACAGGGGACCGACCCAGCCAGGACAACAGAGACAGGGGACCGACCCAGCCAGGACAACAGAGACAGGGGACCGACCCAGCCAGGACAACAGACAGGGGACCAACCCAGCCAGGACAACAGAGACAGGGGACCAACCCAGCCAGGUCAACAGAGACAGGAGACCAACCCAGCCAGGACAACAGAGACAGGGGACCAACAUAG
rnacentral:lncRNA from 1 species